UUUAUUUUCAUGAAAUGUGGAGUGUGAAGAAGUAUUUGACAAGGAAAUAUCAAGUCAAAACCCAAUUAUUGCAUCUAUGGUGACAGAAAUGAAGAUGAAGUUUGAGAAAUAUUGAAAAAUCUCAUACUUUUCAAAUUGCAUACCAGUUAUACUUGAUCCUCGAUUCAAGUUUGGAUUUGUUGAGUUUCGCUUAAACAAGGCUUUUGGAGGGACAGCAGGUGUUCACAUUGAUAAAGUAGAUAAAGCUAUAAGAAAUUUAUACAAUGGAUACUCAUCUGAAAUGGAGUCCUCUAAUUCUGCUGCUCAAGAAGGUGAGAUUACAAGUUCAGGAAAAGUUCACUCGUGGUCUGACUGGAGUCAACACAUGAGUUAUCAGAGUAACCAAGUGACAGGAGAACUUGAUAGAUACUAUCGUGCUGAUUUAUUCCCGUGUGAUGAUGAUAGCUUUGACAUUUUACACUGGUGGAAGAUGCAUGCACCAAAAUAUCCAAUUCUAGUUUCUAUGGCCCGUGAUGUAUUGGCUGUAACAGCAUCUACUGUAGCAGCCGAGUCUGCAUUCAGUACAGGUGGAGGAAUCGUCACUGACCAUAGGACUAGGCUAUCAAGCAACACUGUCGAAGCUUUGAUUUGUUUCCAAAACUGGCUUAGAGAAGCAGGUGCAUUUUACUUGGGAUGCCUCCUGGUGGUAUAGAACCCCUCGCUCUUCUGGGCCUGAGGUGCUCCCUUUUGCUCCCCUCCCGCUCUUGCUUAGAUAUGCUCGUCAGACAUGAAAAUAAUAUUUCUGGGAUUGUGGUGUUUGCAAAGUCCUUUUUUUACAUGUUCUUGAUACUGAUGUCUGAAUUUGGUUUGUUUGGCUCUUGCU